rnacentral:lncRNA from 1 species
UACCUUGUUUUACCCCUUACCUGUUUUUCCGUCUUUUUGUUUUUAUUUUUGGACGAUUUCCUCAGUUUUGUAAUCUAGCUCUUUUCUAGUAGGUUUUUAAAAUGAAACCCGACAGGUAAACAGCAAAGGGCACAGCUCACAAGUGUGCAUUUAGCUCAGUGGCUCUCCAGAAACGGAAAACUCUUGCAUGACUCCCCCCCCCUCCCCCCGGCCAGGGGAUAGCGCGCUGCUGUUUCCUGCUGCUCCCCUCCUGCCCCACUGGUCACCACUCCCUCUUCUCCCAGCGACAGUCACUCGGGACUGCUGACGCCACAGUUCACUUUCACUGUUUUCAAGCUUUAGUGUACAUCAGCCUCACCUGCAAGAUUUGGGGUGGGUUUUUUCACCUUUUUAGGGCCACACCCGCAGCAUACGGAGGGUCCCAGGCUAGGGAUUGAAUCGGAGCUGCAGCUGCCAGCCUCCGCCACAGCCACAGCAGCGCAGGAUCCGAGCAGCAUCUGUGGCCUACAGCACCGCGGCAACGCCGGAUCCUUAACCCACUGAGCGAGGCCAGGGACCAAACCCGAAUCCUCACGGCUAUCGCUGAGCCACAACGGGAACUUCGGAAGAUUUGUUAAAACAGAUUGCUGGCGCUCACUUCAGAGUUUCUGAUUCAGUAGGUCUGUAUUAGAAUUUUCUUAAGAAGUUAUCAGGUGCUGCUGCUGAGAACCACUGGCCUAGGUUCUUUAGCUAAAACCAAAUGGAAUCAUACCGUUGUCCUUUUUGGUGUAUGGUGUUUUUUGUUCAAAAUUAACCUUGUGAAAUUAAUGCUUUUAGAAAAAGUAGCUGAAGUUCAUUUCAACUCCUGAGUAGUAUGACUCUGCCGUUGAGUGUGAAGUUAUUUAUCUGUUCUGCUGGUGGCGGUCGUUUGGACUAGUCCCAGUAUUUGGCUGUUAGGAGUGACGGUACUAAGGACAUUCCUUUGGAGUAUUUUGCUGAAAAUGUGCGAACGUUUCUGCUGGAAAUAAACCCGCGGGCGAGGAGCUGCUGGCAGGCAGCGUAUAUCCAGCUCUUUUCCACAGCAGUGGCACCAAUUUUCACUCCUAACAGCAGGGGGCGCGAGUGCGCUCUUUGCCCUGCGUCCUGGACGCCACCUCCCUGCUCCAUCUUUUUAUUUGUAAGCCCUUCUGGCAGGAGUGCAGUGGUUUCUCACUGUGGUCUUCCGUUGCAUUUCCAUGGUGACUGAUGGCACUUCUUAAGUUAUUUGCUACUUGGAUAUCCUUUGGUAUUACAUAGCCAUUUAAGUUUCUUGCUCAUUUUUGUAUUUAUUUAUCUAUCUUUUUCCUAUUGACUUGUACUAGUUCUUGGUAUAUUCUGGAUAUGACUAUUAGUUGGUAGUAUAUAUUGCAGUAAUUUCUUCCGUUCUGUGGUUUGCCUUUAUUCUGUUAGGCAUAAGGUUUUGAGGUGUGUGUGUGUGUGUGUGUGUGGUGAGAGCACCUGAGAUCUACUUUUAAAAGCAAAUUUCCGGCAUGUCGUAGAAUUAACUGUAGGCGUCCUGCUGCACGUCGAUGUCCGGCAUUACGCAUCCUGCGAAACCCUGACUCUGGCCUCUGACCAUCAUCCCCCCCCCCCCCCCCCCCCCCCCUCGUCGCUGCCCUUGGCAACUGCCGCUCCACUCGCUUUGUUUUCGGUGUUCAGGCCGCACACGCGUGUGAGCUCCUGCGGUCCUCCUCUCUCCAUGUCUGGUUUAGUUCUCUUCGUCCAGUGCCCUCCAGGCCCACCGGCGUUAACACUCGCAGACGGCAGGAUCCGCUUGCUUCCUCAGGCUGAAUAAACCUCCAUGUUACGCCUGUAUACAGAAGGCGCAGAGCAAGGCAACAAAGGAGAAAUGGAUGUCGGCGUGGGCGAGGAACAAGCAGCAGCAGAGACGUCGACAGCUGAAGAAGUUAAGUUUACUGCAUAGUCUGACAAGCCAAAAAACCCCGGCUGCAACAGAACUUCCAGCCUCCCUGGGGCCCUGGAUGUGACUUACAUCCUGCCCGUGAAAUGUACGUGCUCAAGAUUUGAGAAGGCGGACGGAGGCGGAGGCCACUUCCCAACUGUAUCUGGCUUCGUUCGCGUGGGUUUGCUCAUGAUCCAGACUGUGGAGCUAAGUCCACCAGCCAUUUCCAGCCGUUCCAGUUUCCCGCACUGAAACCUCCUCACAAACAUAAUGAGGGGAACAGCCUUCGGGGAUCUCAUAGAGCCAGUUCGUCUCCCCCAGUCCCGGUUUCUGGGCAUGUGGAUUAAGAGCCAGGAUUCUCCCGACAAGCAGGGGCCAGAGCGUGUGCGCUGGCACAGCUGCAGAAGAGCCCAACAGAGGACGCCAGGACACAGGGCACCAGCCGGGCUUGGCUUCCAGGGGUCCUUCCUCCACCGGUGUGUGGGGAGAGAGCCUCUUUCACGGGGUGCCCGUUCCCCCAGAGCCUGUGCUCCGAACGCCACAAACGUCAGCCCAUCCACGACUCAAAACCACUGCAGGGCAGGCGUGGUCACCCUCAGUGGACGUUUGGGACGACGGACUCUGAGCCGGUGAUGCGACUCGCCUGAGACGCUCAGAUAACAUCAGGUCUGUCUCACGGUCCACCGUUUACAUGAACGAGUUCUUCUCUUUUUUAAAUGAUGAAAAUAAUCUGUGUUCAUUGUCUGAUCUCUCUCAUCAUCCCGUUGGUGUGGCGGUAGCAGGAGGGAAGCAAGGGCUGUGCUUUCUGUGACCGUGUUUACGUCAUUGUCAAGUCCCUGCUGCUUUGAUGACAGAUCCUGCCCAGGUUUUGAUAAAAGAUACAGGAGUUCUAUUUUCUUUUUCCUUUCUUUUCUUUUUUUCAUUGCACUGACAUGAACAAUAUUUCAGAAAUAAGAGAUAAUUGACAAAAUGACUUGUGUUGAGCUAUUAAUAAAUAAAAGGGUAUAGCUAGUUACCGGCAAUAAAACUGCAAAAUGGAUGAUUGCAAGGAAUCACCAGCCACAUCUUAUUAAUAGGCCUCUGUGAGCUAAUUGAAAAGGAUUACAGCAUCACUAACAGUGGCAAUCUUCUAUGAUUUUAAUAACGACCAAAGUGUGUAUGUGUGUGUUUGGGCUGCUCCUUCUCUUCCCACCGGCUUUAGGCAAUAGUUAAAAAUGUGGCCACAAGAAUUCAGAUGUUACCUGUUACCUGCUUAGCCUAAACUGGUUCAGGGUGAUAACUGACUAUAAUCCGGUGUCAACAAUUCUAAGGCAGCAGGAGAAACUUGCUUAUACUCUGUAGCUGAAAAUAAACUAUGGAAAA